rnacentral:rRNA from 1 species
GAUGAACGCUGGCGGCGUGCUUAACACAUGCAAGUCGAACGGUGAAGCAGAGCUUGCUCUGUGGAUCAGUGGCGAACGGGUGAGUAACACGUGAGCAACCUGCCCUGGACUCUGGGAUAAGCGCUGGAAACGGCGUCUAAUACUGGAUACGAGACGUGGCCGCAUGGUCAACGUUUGGAAAGAUUUUUUGGUUCAGGAUGGGCUCGCGGCCUAUCAGCUUGUUGGUGAGGUAAUGGCUCACCAAGGCGUCGACGGGUAGCCGGCCUGAGAGGGUGACCGGCCACACUGGGACUGAGACACGGCCCAGACUCCUACGGGAGGCAGCAGUGGGGAAUAUUGCACAAUGGGCGAAAGCCUGAUGCAGCAACGCCGCGUGAGGGAUGACGGCCUUCGGGUUGUAAACCUCUUUUAGCAAGGAAGAAGCGAAAGUGACGGUACUUGCAGAAAAAGCGCCGGCUAACUACGUGCCAGCAGCCGCGGUAA